rnacentral:rRNA from 1 species
CGGAAAAGGGAAAGGCUUAGUGGCGGACGGGUGAGUAACGCGUGGGUAACCUGGCCCAUACAGGGGGAUAACACUUAGAAAUAGGUGCUAAUACCGCAUAACAACAGAAAGCGCAUGCUUUUUGUUUGAAAACCAAGGUGGUAUGGGAUGGACCCGCGUCUGAUUAGCUGGUUGGCGGGGUAAAGGCCCACCAAGGCGACGAUCAGUAGCCGGCCUGAGAGGGUGGACGGCCACAUUGGGACUGAGACACGGCCCAAACUCCUACGGAAGGCAGCAG